AUCAAAAGAAGAGGCGCGAAUGACAAGAGUCGCUUUCAGGAGAACGAUUAGGUUCUGUGAUUGAAAGUAAAAGGGUCAUUUGCCGAAGCUCGCCGUGGCUAAUUACACGCGGAGCUGGGGCCAGUCCUAAGAAGGCUGGAACUGUCGCAACGAUGUGUUGCGGAGAGCUUCCUACGGU
rnacentral:ncRNA from 2 species